CCUACGGGUGGCAGCAGUGGGGAAUAUUGGACAAUGGGGGGAACCCUGAUCCAGCGACGCCGCGUGAGUGAAGAAGUAUUUCGGUAUGUAAAGCUCUAUCAGCAGGGAAGAAAAUGACUGUACCUAUAAAGGAAGCACCGGCUAACUCCGUGCCAGCAGCCGCGGUAAUACGGGGGGUGCAAGCGUUGUCCGGAAUCAUUGGGCGUAAGGCGUUCGUAGGCGGCAAGGUAAGUCUGAUGUUAAAGCCCGGGGCUCAACUCCGGUUCGGCAUUGGAUACUAUCUAGCUAGAAUGUGGUAGAGGUAAAGGGAAUUCCUGGUGUAGCGGUGAAAUGCGUAGAUAUCAGGAGGAACAUCGGUGGCGAAAGCGCUUUACUGGACCAUGAUUGACGCUGAGGAACGAAAGCCAGGGGAGCAAAUGGGAUUAGAUACCCUGGUAGUC
rnacentral:rRNA from 1 species